rnacentral:rRNA from 1 species
UACGUAGGUGGCAAGCGUUGUCCGGAAUUAUUGGGCGUAAAGCGCGCGCAGGCGGUCCUUUAAGUCUGAUGUGAAAGCCCACGGCUCAACCGUGGAGGGUCAUUGGAAACUGGGGGACUUGAGUGCAGAAGAGGAAAGCGGAAUUCCACGUGUAGCGGUGAAAUGCGUAGAUAUCGGGAGGAACACCAGUGGCGAAGGCGAUCACCUGGGGUUGUUCUGACGCUGAGGAGCGAAAGCUAGGGGAGCAAACGGG